GGUUCUAUGGUGUAAUGGUUAGCACUCUGGACUUUGAAUCCAGCGAUCUGAGUUCAAAUCUCGGUAGGACCG
rnacentral:tRNA from 1 species